CAUACUGACUACUUUUAAUUUGAUAAGCAUUAAAAUUAAAGAUACCUGCUUAUGAAAAAUACAUCGAUGCUGCUGCCCUUAUGUCUUCUGUAAAGACACGCUGACAGCAAUUUAUAUUGCUGUUGAAAUAUUUUUUGGUGGUGACCAGAACUACAGAAGUACAUACUGUUGGAGAUUUCCUGAACUCCUUGGUGGGCUCAGACUGUGUGUGGAAGACUCUGUGACAGAAAAGUUCUGCUGAAAAAGUCUGUGAUUUCUGCAGCAUACAGUCU
rnacentral:lncRNA from 1 species